GUGGGGAAUAUUGGACAAUGGGGGCAACCCUGAUCCAGCCAUGCCGCGUGAGUGACGAAGGCCUUAGGGUUGUAAAGCUCUUUCACCGGUGACGAUAGUGACGGUAGCCGGAGAAGAAGCCCCGGCUAACUCCGUGCCAGCAGCCGCGGUAAGACGGAGGGGGCUAGCGUUGUUCGGAAUCACUGGGCGUAAAGCGCGCGUAGGCGGCUUAUCAAGUUGGGCGUGAAAGCCCGGGGCUCAACCCCGGAAAUGCGCCCAAAACUGGUUGGCUAGAGACCGAGAGAGGGUGGUGGAAUUCCCAGUGUAGAGGUGAAAUUCGUAGAUAUUGGGAAGAACACCAGUGGCGAAGGCGGCCACCUGGCUCGGAUCUGACGCUGAGGCGCGAAAGCGUGGGGAGCAAACAGGAUUAGAUACCCUAGUAGUCC
rnacentral:rRNA from 1 species